GAGGCGAAAUAACUCAAAGCUGACAUAAAAAGUACCUAAAAUUAAGUACAUUGCCAGCACCGUUGAAAUAAGUAAUUUUAUGUUCUCUGUUUUAAGUAGUUUUAACUUAUUCUCAGAGUACUAUCGAUAUAACUUAUUUUUGAGUUAUUUGAGAAUUAUGAUUUCGAUAAUUUAUUUUGUUUACUUUUUGUCCUAUUAAAGUACCCAAAUCGAAGUGUUGAAACCGCACUCUAUUUUGGAUGAAAAAUAAAAACGACUCCAUUAGGAUAGGUGAUAGGAAGAUUUUAUUGAAAUAUUCAGAUCUAUACAACGUGCACGAGCGUUGGAAAAAAUGCACCAACAGAAAGAGGACCGGAAAAUCAUUCCCGUAAUCAAAUGGAAUUCCAAAUCCGUAAAACUUGAAUUCCACAGCAGGGCAGCCUCACAUAACAGAUGCAUCACAGGAGCAGGAGAAAUCUCGGGAGGAUUAAUCACACCCCACACAUUCGUCACGGAACACGGGUUGCGGAUUUUCUGAAGAUCAUUAAGAUAUCUAUGUGUUAAUUAAUUAUGUAGCCGAAUGUGUUAAUAAUAGUGGAAAAUAAAAUAUAAUUCAUAAGUUAAUUUAUGCAGCCUGUAUGUUGUUCAAGAGAAAUCGCGAUCAAAAUUUCGAACAAUUUUGCCACUGCUAAGAACCCCAUUUUGAGUAGUUUUACCCCAAAAAUCGCUAUUCCCGAAAUAGUUAGUUUUUACUUAAAACGGCCUCUUCGUGGAAUGACUCGAAAUUGAAUACUUUGCAAAAUACUCAAUUUUGAAUCAUUCCACUUAGCUGUCAAGAUGAGUACAAAAGAGUUAAUUUUAGG